CCAUGAGAGCUGCACAGAUAUGAGACAUUAAACUUUGACAUGCAGUCAAUACUUGUCAAUACUGUUGCUGUGCAGCAGACAUGUUUUUAACAAGAACACACUUUCAAAGAAAAUGACUUCUAGCUUGAAGACAGCGAAGACAGAUCAGUGCUUACCGACACCUCUGGUGAAAGCUACCACAUGCCACUGUCCACAGGCAUCCAGUCUUCAGGAUGCUCCUUCUACAGCUUCCACAAAAGCUCUACCUGGAAAAAGAAUGACACUCAUAGAGCAGCUUAAAGUACAGAAGAAUAACAAUUCUGGGAAUGCUCAGGUGGAGCACAUCCACAAGCUCCGGGCUCCUACUCCACCUACUGUCCCCAGAAGAGGACGAAGGCUGCUGCCAGCCCAGCAGGAGAGUCUAGAGAGUAUAGCGGCUCAUCAGCCCGACAUCAACACAUCAUGCGGGACUCGGUGGGUGACUGAGUAUGUGGAAAACUUUGGCUUGUCGCAACCUGUCCGCGUACCUCCGGUGAAAACUGCAAACUGGAAGGCCUCGAUCUUUUAUAGCACACAUAACCAUCAUUCUGCAGACAAGUGUCACCACACCGAAUACCAGGCCCUCUACAGUCCUGAGACAGAUCAGUGCUUACCGCCACCUCUGGUGAAAGCUACCGCAUGCCACUGUCCACAGGCAUCCACUCCUCCUCCUACAGCUUCCACAAAAGCUCUACCUGAAAAAAGAAUGACACUCCUAGAGCAGCUUAAAGUACAGAAGAAUAACACUUCUGGGAGUGCUCAGGUGGAGCACGUCCACAAGCUCCGGGCUCCUACUCCACCUACUGUCCCCAGAAGAGGACGAAGGCUGCUGCCAGACCAGCAGGAGAGUCUAGAGAGGAUAGCGGCUCAUCAGCCCGACAUCAACACACCAUGCGGGACUCGGUGGGUGACUGAGUAUGUGGAAAACUUUGGUUUGUCGCAACCUGUCCACUUACCUUGUGCUUCGAAGAAAUCUGCACGCCGUUUGGUCUCGACCUUUCGGAGAAUACCUAACCCUCAUUUUGCAGACAAGUAUCAACGCUCUGAAUACCAGGCCAUCUAUGGUCCUGAGAUUCGCACCGCACAAUUCAACCUUACUCGGUACCGACAGCUCCAUGGAACAGCUUAAAAAGGCAUUUUAUCAGAUACCUUAUCAGGUCGCUCCACCCUAAUUCGACGUGCUGACGUGGUGCAUGGGGAUUGGAGAGAAGAAGAUUGUGCGUCUUUUAAAAAGGAGGAAGAACGUUAUGUCGGCAGGAAUACAGAUAUGUGGUGUGUCUGUGAUUGCGCUGUGAUGAGAAGUGAUAAGUCUACUGUCCAUGGGGUGGACAGGCAGGGAAUAGGAUGGACUGCUGCUGUCAAGUCUGGGCGAGGAAAUGACUACGGGAGUCCUAGAGCUGCUCAGAACUGCUCAGUAAAUGGAUGUCAGCUGAUCACUGAUGGCUGUAUUUAGUUCGGACUCAACAGAUGAUGUUUAGGAUCAGUCUUUAGAGCAAUUUUGUGAGUGGAAAACUCAAAUGCACUUCAGAACUUGAGAAAUGAGUGACAGGUGACAGAUAAGGCCCUCUGUGCUCUCAGUGACUGGGCAGCCAACACCAGCAAGACAUGGACAAUACUGAUGCUUGGGUAGAUGAUACUCCAACCAAUUGUUGUUGUUUAAAAUAGAACAGAUGUCAUGACCCUCGUCCGCAUCCUCAUCACUCUCCACAGUCAUUGCCUCAGCACUCAUCACCUCUUGCUGACUCUGUUCACUAUACACUUUAAAUGCUUUGAUAAAAUUUAAUCCAUUAUCAGUUGUCGUUCUCACUAUCUUUUCUAUGAUGCUGUAUUCAGAAUGGAUGUCAUCUGUGGACAAAUCAAAGGUAUGUGAACUUUUCAAGUGUCUGAAGGCAAUGGAGGCAGACCUUCUUUCUAUUAGUCCUCUUAGUUCUGUUUUUACCUGGCUGUAGAUUCAUCGAUCCAGUGUGCUAUUACACCCAUUUAACUCUGUUGUCAUGCUGUCCUACAAUCAGUAGUGGUAGCUAUAUACAGUUGAGGUCAUAAGUUUGCAUACCCCUUGUAGAAUCUGCAAAAUGUUAUUUUUAUUUUUAUUUUUUUUUAAAUAAGAGGGAUCAUAAGAAUUGCAUUUUGUUUUUUUAUUUAGUACUGCCCUGAAUAAGAUAUUUCAUGUAACGGAUGUUUACAUAUAGUCCACACAACACAAUAAUAACUGAAUUUAUACAAUUAAAACAGGUCAAAAGUUUACAUACGCUUGGUUGUUAAUGCUGUGUGUUAUUACCUGGAUGAACAACGACUGUUUUUAUGUUUUGUGAUAGUUGUUCAUGAGUCCCUUGUUUGUCCUGAGCGGUUAAGCUGCCCACUAUUCUUCAGAAAAAUCCUCCAGGUCCUUCACGUUAUUUGCUUUUCCAGCAACUUCUGCAUAUUUGACCAGUUUCCAGCUGUGGCUAUAUGAUGUUUAAGAUCCAUCUUUCUUUUCCUGCAAGAAACCCUGCUUUAUGUCCUUUAAGAAAGAAAUGGAUCAUUGUAUUGACUCAGUUUGAUUUUCUGUAAAACAAAAAGCAACUAAAA